UACGUAGGGGGCAAGCGUUGUCCGGAAUCAUUGGGCGUAAAGCGCGCGUAGGCGGCUUUGCAAGCCGGAUGUGAAAUCCCCGGGCUUAACCUGGGAACUGCAUUCGGGACUGCAUUGCUAGAGUAUGGGAGAGGGAAGUGGAAUUUCAGGUGUAGCGGUGAAAUGCGUAGAUAUCUGAAGGAACAUCAGUGGCGAAAGCGACUUCCUGGACCAAUACUGACGCUCAUGUGCGAAAGCGUGGGGAGCAAACAGG
rnacentral:rRNA from 1 species